rnacentral:rRNA from 1 species
AUGAUGUGUAACAUGGAAGUGUUGCUGAAGGGAAGGAGGAAAGUAAUGGUGGACUCUCAUAAAGAAGAGAGACAGAUAAUGUUUGUGGUGAAUUCCUUCACCUACCCUGCUUAUGGGAAAUUCUGCAAUGAUGUCCAGCGGCACACCACUCUCAAGUCUGAGAUGAAUUCCUUCACCAGAGGUUCUUUCGUGAGUUACGUCAGCGCUCAGAAGGCAUACAUCGAAGCCCUUGACGGCUGGUUGUCCAAGUUCAUCCUAACAGACACCAUUUGUUACUCCCGGGGGAUCUCCUUGAUUGUGCCCGACAGGGCCGGCACACCGCCCCUGGUGGUGAUCACGAGUGGCACACCAUGCUGUCGACGACUGGAUCGAUCCUCCUCACUAGUGACUCCGGCAUAG